rnacentral:rRNA from 1 species
GACGAACGCUGGCGGCGUGCCUAAUACAUGCAAGUAGAACGCUGAAGAGAGGAGCUUGCUCUUCUUGGAUGAGUUGCGAACGGGUGAGUAACGCGUAGGUAACCUGUCUUGUAGCGGGGGAUAACUAUUGGAAACGAUAGCUAAUACCGCAUAACAAUGGAUGACACAUGUCAUUUAUUUGAAAGGGGCAAUUGCUCCACUACAAGAUGGACCUGCGUUGUAUUAGCUAGUAGGUGAGGUAACGGCUCACCUAGGCGACGAUACAUAGCCGACCUGAGAGGGUGAUCGGCCACACUGGGACUGAGACACGGCCCAGACUCCUACGGGAGGCAGCAGUAGGGAAUCUUCGGCAAUGGGGGCAACCCUGACCGAGCAACGCCGCGUGAGUGAAGAAGGUUUUCGGAUCGUAAAGCUAUGUUGUAAGUCAAGAACGAGUGUGAGAGGUGGAAAAUUCACAC